rnacentral:rRNA from 1 species
GUUUAAAGGGUGCGUAGGCGGGUUUGUAAGUCAGUGGUGAAAUCCCCGAGCUUAACUUGGGAACUGCCAUUGAUACUGCAAGUCUUGAAUUUUCUGGAGGUAAGCGGAAUAUGUCAUGUAGCGGUGAAAUGCUUAGAUAUGACAUAGAACACCCAUUGCGAAGGCAGCUUACUACGGGAAUAUUGACGCUGAGGCACGAAAGCGUGGGGAUCAAACAGGAUUAGAUACCCUGGUAGUCCACGCCCUAAACGAUGAUUACUCGACAUUAGCGAUAUUACAGUUAGUGUCUAAGCGAAAGCAUUAAGUAAUCCACCUGGGAAGUACGACCGCAAGGUUGAAACUCAAAGGAAUUGGCGGGGGUCCGCACAAGUGGUGGAGCAUGUGGUUUAAUUCGAUGAUACGCGAGGAACCUUACCUGGGCUAGAAUGCUGGGAGACUGAUGGUGAAAGCCAUCUUUGUAGCAAUACACUGCCAGUAAGGUGCUGCAUGGCUGUCGUCAGCUCGUGCCGUGAGGUGUUGGGUUAAGUCCUGCAAUGAGCGCAACCCCUAUCUUUAGUUGCCAUCAGGUAAUGCUGGGAACUCUAAAGAAACUGCCGUCGUAAGACGUGAGGAAGGAGGGGAUGAUGUCAAGUCAUCAUGGCCUUUAUGCCCAGGGCUACACACGUGCUACAAUGGGAAGGACAAAGGGCUGCCACUUAGCGAUAAGGAGCUAAUCCCAAAAACCUUCUCUCAGUUCAGAUUGGAGUCUGCAACUCGACUCCAUGAAGCUGGAAUCACUAGUAAUCGUAU